rnacentral:rRNA from 1 species
UACGUAGGGUGCGAGCGUUAAUCGGAAUUACUGGGCGUAAAGCGUGCGCAGGCGGCUUUGCAAGACAGAUGUGAAAUCCCCGGGCUCAACCUGGGAACUGCAUUUGUGACUGCAAGGCUAGAGUACGGCAGAGGGGGAUGGAAUUCCGCGGGUAGCAGUGAAAUGCGUAGAUAUGCGGAGGAACACCAAUGGCGAAGGCAAUCCCCUGGGCCUGUA